UACCGCUCAUAACCACUACACCACACUGGCUCCUGUACUGAAUAGUACAGGAAGUGCAUGCUGGGAGCCAGUAUGGUGUAGUGGUUAGAGUGUUGGA